GUCCUCAGUUAGGCAGCACAUACCCUAAUGUUGGAAAGAUACAGAGAAGAUUAGCAUGGCCCCUGGGCAAGGAUGGUAGGAUAGAAGUGUUGAUACUAUCUUU
ensembl:snRNA U6 U6 spliceosomal RNA